CUGCCUGCCUCCUGCAGUACGGGAGGCUGCGAGCCGCCGCGCCGGGCCGGGCCCCGGCAGGUGGGCGAGCCGUGCCGAACCGGGGCUGCUGCGGGGUCUUCAACAUGGCUGGCACUGACACAGCUACCUUCCUGCAUGCGGCUCAGUGCGACGUAAAUAAUUGGUUCCGGCCAAUAACAAACCUUCAUCUCGAUUUCAUUGGCUUGUAUCUUGGGCAACACAAGAGACAUUCUCUAAUGCCUCAAAAUAUCCCUACUGGAUAAUGUAAGUAGACCACCAAAUUAGUCCUAUUAAGCUUUUUAACCUUUCAAAUUUAAAACCCAAGAAUUUGAACACUGCCCACAAACAGAACCAAACAUGCUCAAAUGUUUUUGCUGUAUGUCAUUUUUCCAUGUUAUCAUGCACUUAAACUAAAAUGUUGUGAUCUCUAUGGGUUAUUGCUGUUUACUACUGUCAC
rnacentral:lncRNA from 1 species